UUUCCCUUCUGUUAACAAGCCAUUUUUCUGCAUCUCUUUACACCAGAUGCAUUUGAUAAUGCAUUUUAGUUUGACAUGUCGAUUAUUCAGCUCCAUCAAUGAUCCAAAUUAUAUCUUUCAUUCUAUAACAGAAUACAUUCAGAAGUGAUGAAACUUCAAGACAGGGAAGACUACAUUCACUGACUAAUGGUAAUCCUGGAGGCCUUCUGGCAUGAAAGUCACAUUCUCAGAAGAAGUCUAAAUGAGACUUAAGGAAACUAAUUAUAUGUGAAGAGGUUGCUUGUCAGUGCCCAACCAAAAGCCCAGCUGAGGUCUCAGACAACAAACAAUAUCAACAACCAGAUUUCUCACUUUAAUCCCAAAUAGCCAAAACAGGAAGACUGGAAUAAGCAGCACGGAGGUAUGAAAGGUGGUGGUAAGAGAUGGAAUGAAGAUAAGAAACAGACUUCUGCUUGAACCUGGAAAAGUAGAACCAUCAGUUUCUUUCAUGUUCUAAAUAAAUGAC